rnacentral:rRNA from 1 species
CAGCAGCCGCGGUAAUACGGAGGGUGCGAGCGUUAAUCGGAAUUACUGGGCGUAAAGCGGGCGCAGACGGUUACUUAAGCAGGAUGUGAAAUCCCCGGGCUCAACCUGGGAAUUGCGUUCUGAACUGGGUGGCUAGAGUGUGUCAGAGGGGGGUAGAAUUCCACGUGUAGCAGUGAAAUGCGUAGAGAUGUGGAGGAAUACCGAUGGCGAAGGCAGCCCCCCGGGAUAGCACUGACGUUCAUGCCCGAAAGCGUGGGUAGCAAACAGGAUUAGAUACCCCUGUAGUCCUGUCUCUUAUACA